AUCCAGCUGACGAGUCCCAAAUAGGACGAAACGCGUGUACUGGAU
rnacentral:hammerhead_ribozyme from 1 species